CUCGCCGCCGCCGACCCCUCCCCCUCCCUCCCCCCUCCACCAACCCCCGUCGCAGCCGCAGCGCAGCGCAGCACCGCAGUCGCCCGUCGCCCCCGAUGGCGACCGCCGCCGGCCUCGUGAGCGGGCUGUCGGCGAAGGACGAGAUUAGGGAGGUGGAGAUGGAGAUCAUGAACCCGCCGGAGGAGGCGGCGGAGCGGGCCGGGCUGAAGAGGGCCUGGGGCUACGCGAACGCCGGCAGUUCUCAUGGUUUUAUUGGAGUGACUACUGCUGAAAAGGAGCCAACACUCCUGCCUCAUAACAAUGUCAAAUAUCUGAAGAAAGCUGGCAGUGGCAAUCUUCUACGUCCGGAUAUGCCAGAUACUAAUGCUUGGAGAUUUAGUAGCUCAUCUCCUGGUGGAGAUCUGGGGAGCAAAACCAGAACCCCUACGGGUACCUUUAAUGCUCAAGGCCAGUGCAAGAAAGGAAAGAAUUGCACUUCUCCUCAUGAAAGAGAGGGUUCUGGUUUUGGUAACCUGUGGAGUCAAGAAGAAAAUGCUGGUUCACUCACAUCAGUUGGUUAUGGGAAACAUAGAGGCUCUGAAGAAGGAUUUGAAGCACAAUGUGUAUCCAACUUGAAUGAUCUGCACAACUAUGGGCGAUAUAGGACCCUCAUUCAUUCUUAUGGCGCAGAUCAUAGGGGGCUGGCUCAUAACUCGCCCAACCUAAAUAUUUCAGAGGAGAGGUCUUGCAGAACUGAUAAUUUCUGGACUACAAAGCCUACCCCUCCUGUAAAUGAGCUGGUGCAGAUCUCAGUUCAAGGGAAAAACCACAAACCUAGUCUCAUGGGACACCAUAUUAGUUUGCCCUCUGAUAGCUACUUGGAUGGCAGGGAAACCUUAAGUAGAUUGCAUUUAGAUGGAGCAAAGCUGUUGCCGGAUCUGAAUGUGGCUAAAGCAAGCAGCCUAAGUGAUUCUCAUGUCUCUGAUUAUUGGCAUCGACCAUUUUACUCAUCUGUUUCAUUUGACUAUCCCCAGUAUGGUGAGAAGCGAUCUGCUUAUGGUGGACCAACAGAAAAUCUUCCUCACAAACAUCAGAAAGAACAUAGUUCAAGCUUUGCCUCAUACAGCUCAAACAGUAUAACAGGGUUCAGAAGUCCAGGCCACAAUAGCUCUGUUCAUUCCUUGGGUAGCCAACCUUCUCGAGGAAUUACUCACCUAGGAAUGACGUCCCUUCAUCAGUUAACACCUGGUAUCGAGAAAUUUGGUCUCCUUAAAGAUGUAUAUUUUGACAAGGGCUGUGGUACAUCUAGGCCUGGGUUACGUGCAAGCAGUUCAUGUCAGCCUGAGCACCUUUCCCCAAUCAAGGAUGACCCUUGGGUAACUUCAGUGCCUUUUGUACCUCUUGUUGAGUUUCCCAACAGUACAUCACCUUCAAAUAGUCCAUAUGACCCACUUGCUGACAGUAUGAACCCUCCCAAAGUUGAGAGUGGCAAUAUUCUCAAGUCCUCCAACAUAUCCUGCAGCAUUUCAAGUCAGCACACUGCUGGGAAUGGUGUUAUAGAUGGAGACAUCAACAAAUCAUUGAUUUAUGAUAAGUUGGCAAGGAAUAUGUCGGCAAAAGGGUCAAAUGAGUUUGCAGGCUUGGUUGCACCUGGUAAGGAACGCUCUAGUCUGGAUGGCGAUACUUUGGUGAAAGCUUUUGAAAGAACCAAAGAUUAUUUCCGUAUUCAUUUGGCAGAACAUGUGAAGGAGUUGCUGAAACCUAUUUGGAAGGAAGGCAAACUGAGUAAAGAUGCUCAUAAACUGAUAGUAAAAAAAUCUGUUGACAAAGUUCUUGCUACAGUUGACCUGCAUCAAGUACCAGCUACUAAAGAAUUGAUAACUGAUUAUAUAACCAUGUCUGGAACAAAGAUUGAAAAGCUUGUGAAGGCAUAUGUUGAUAGGCAUGGUACAAGAUGAGAUCCAGACUUCUAAAUGCUGAGCUCCAUCACCAUAGAUAUGGGCUUUCAGCAAACACCUUUCCGAUGUGAUUAAUCUGCAGUCCAAUGUUGCUAGGCCUGAUCUGCAGUCCAAUGUUGCUAGGCCUGAUCUGCAGUAGCCAACCUGAAGUGAAGUGGAUUUAGGGAAGCAUUCAAUUUUGCAUCUUUAAGGUUGCCAGAUAUUAAAGUCGUCUUUGAGCCUAUUAUAUCCUCAUUUUAUCAUCACUGAUCAAACUGAUGAGAGCUGCCAGAACAUGCAAAUGGAAACAAACAGUCGCCUCAUUCACCUUCUCAGAUUUUUUAUGGCCUGUACUGCUUAAUUCCUUGGCCCAUUCUGCUGAAAAGGUUCUGUUUCUGGACGGAAUGGCGUUCCAGAUUGGAAUGCUAAUACUAAAGAGUGUCCAUGUCCUGACUCGUCCAUGAAGUGGUUUGACCUAACCUCUGCCCUCAAAUGCCUAUGCUCACCCAAGCUGUAGAUCACAAAUACCUUGCUGGUCAGGCUGCGCUCUGCUUCCCAUGGGAACUGAUGCUUAACUCAGCCCUGCUCGGCGGGGCAGCUGGCUGCCCAUCUCCAUCGCCCGCCUCAUGCUUACUCUGUCUGCCUCAUCCUCCGUGUUACAUUCUUCCUCCAACAGCAAGGUGUGGUUUGGCUUUCGGUUCUGUUUUGCCGGCGAGAAUGGUGAAGGCUUUGGUUAACAUUUAAGAUCAGCAUUAAAACAGGCUUCUACUGUGCAGCCUGUGUUAUAUCACUAAAUAAAUGGAAUUUAAUUUCAA